GACAGGAGCAAGUAGUGCCGAGUUCUUCCUCUGUUCCAGCCUGAAGAAAAGGGUCGAUUGGGGGGUAUAUUGUUUUGGAAAUCCACAGCUCCAACCUCGCUCCAGUCAGGGCUACUGGCAGCAAGUGGUCUCCUGCUGUGGAUCACCGGCAGACCAUCCGGAUUUGGGUUGAGGCUGUCCGGAGCAGUUCCAGUCGCUAGUCCCCAUUGCACGUAGUGCUAGUUCUCUGCU